GCAUUGUUGGUUUAGUGGUAUAAUGGCCGCCUCCCACGCGGCUGACCCGGGUUCGAUUCCCGGACAAUGCA